rnacentral:rRNA from 1 species
UACGUAGGGGGCAAGCGUUGUCCGGAUUUAUUGGGCGUAAAGAGCGUGUAGGCGGCCAUGCAGGUCCGUUGUGAAACCCGAGGCUCAACCUCGGGCCUGCAGUCGAUACGGGCAGGCUAGAGUUCGGUAGGGGAGACUGGAAUUCCUGGUGUAGCGGUGAAAUGCGCAGAUAUCAGGAGGAGCACCGGUGGCGAAGGCGGGUCUCUGGGCCGAAACUGACGCUGAGGAGCGAAAGCGUGGGGAGCGAACAGG